GACGUAGGGCGCGAGCGUUGUCCGGAUUUAUUGGGCGUAAAGAGCUCGUAGGCGGCUUGUCACGUCGGGUGUGAAAGACCGGGGCUUAACUCCGGUUCUGCAUUCGAUACGGGCUAGCUAGAGUGUGGUAGGGGAGAUCGGAAUUCCUGGUGUAGCGGUGAAAUGCGCAGAUAUCAGGAGGAACACCGGUGGCGAAGGCGGAUCUCUGGGCCAUUACUGACGCUGAGGAGCGAAAGCGUGGGGAGCGAACAGG
rnacentral:rRNA from 1 species